ACUCAAAGGAAUAGACGGGGGCCCGCACAAGCGGUGGAUUAUGUGGUUUAAUUCGAAGCAACGCGCAGAACCUUACCUAGGCUUGAACUCCUCAGAAUUUGGGGUAAUGCCUAAAGUGCCCGCAAGGGAAUUGAGUGAGAGGUGCUGCAUGGCUGUCGUCAGCUCGUGUUGUGAAAUGUUGGGUUAAGUCUCGCAACGAGCGCAACCCCUAUCGUCUGUUGCCAGCAUUAAGUUGGGCACUCUGGCGAGACUGCCUGGGUUAACCAGGAGGAAGGUGGGGAUGACGUCAAGUCCUCAUGGCCCUUAUGUCUAGGGCUACACACGUAAUACAAUGGCAUGUACAGAGGGAAGCGAACUCGCGAGGGGGAGCAAAUCUCAAAAAGCAUGUCUCAGUCCGGAUUGGAGUCUGCAACUCGACUCCAUGAAGUUGGAAUCGCUAGUAAUCGUGGAUCAGCACGCCACGGUGAAUACGUUCCCGGGCCUUGUACACACCGCCCGU
rnacentral:rRNA from 1 species